CCCCGCGGUAUCUUAACCGUGCGAAAGGUAGCGUAAUCACUUGUCUUUUAAUUAAGGACCCGUAUGAAUGACAAAACGAGGGCUCAACUGUCUCCUUCUUUUAGUCAAUGAAAUUGAUCUCCCCGUGCAGAAGCGGGCAUUCAUUCAUAAGACGAGAAGACCCUAUGAAGCUUUAGACAAUCGGACAUACCCUGUUAAUACACCCCCAUAAAAGGGCCAAAACCUAUUUACCCAUGUCCCCGUCUUAGGUUGGGGCGACCCCGGGGAAACAAAAACCCCCCACGUGGAAUAGUAGCAUCCGCUAUCCACAACCGAGAGCCACAACUCCAAAAACCAGAACCUCUGACCACAAAUAUGACCCGGCAAUGCCGAUCAACGAACAAGUUACUCUAGGGAUAACAGCGCAAUCCCCUUUUUAGAGGCCGCAUCAACAAGGGGGUUUACGACCUCGAUGUUGGAUCAGGACAUCCUAAUGGUGCAGCCGCUAUUAAGGGU
rnacentral:rRNA from 1 species